GCUAGAAUGAACGCUGGCGGCAGGCCUAACACAUGCAAGUCGAGCGAGAUCUUCGGAUCUAGCGGCGGACGGGUGAGUAACGCGUGGGAACGUGCCCUUCUCUACGGAAUAGUCCCGGGAAACUGGGUUUAAUACCGUAUACGCCCUUCGGGGGAAAGAUUUAUCGGAGAAGGAUCGGCCCGCGUUGGAUUAGGUAGUUGGUGGGGUAAUGGCCCACCAAGCCGACGAUCCAUAGCUGGGUUGAGAGGAUGAUCAGCCACACUGGGACUGAGACACGGCCCAGACUCCUACGGGAGGCAGCAGUGGGGAAUCUUAGACAAUGGGGGCAACCCUGAUCUAUCCAUGCCGCGUGAGUGACGAAGGCCCUAGGGUCGUAAAGCUCUUUCACCAGGGAUGAUAAUGACAGUACCUGGAGAAGAAACCCCGGCUAACUCCGUGCCAGCAGCCGCGGUGAUACGGAGGGGGUUAGCCCCGUUCGGAAUUACUGGGCGUAAAGCGCGCGCUAGCGGACUAUUAAGUCAGGGGUGAAAUCCCAGGGCUCAACCCUGGAACUGACCUUGAUACUGGUAGUCUUGAGUUCGAGAGAGGUGAGUUGGAUGU
rnacentral:rRNA from 1 species